GGUGAACGCUGGCGGCGUGCUUAAGACAUGCAAGUCGAACGCAGUCUUCGGACUGAGUGGCGCACGGGUGAGUAACACGUAACUGACCUACCCCCAAGUCGCGAAUAACCAGCCGAAAGGAUGGCUAAUACGUGAUGUGAUGAUCCGCUGUGGCGGAUCAUUAAAGACUUGAUCGCUUGGGGAUGGGGUUGCGUUCCAUCAGCUAGUUGGUAAGGUAAAGGCUUACCAAGGCGACGACGGAUAGCCGGCCUGAGGGUGGCCGGCCACAGGGGGACUGAGACACGGGUCCCACUCCUACGGGAGGCAGCAGUUAGGAAUCUUCCACAAUGGGCGCAAGCCUGAUGGAGCGACGCCGCGUGAGGGAUGAAGGUUCUCGGAUCGUAAACCUCUGAACCAACGACGAAAGACCCGACAAGGGAGAUGACGGUAGUUGGGUAAUAGCACCGGCUAACUCCGUGCCAGCAGCCGCCGUAACAC
rnacentral:rRNA from 1 species